CGCAAGGGGAGAAGAAAUCCAGCCCCCGUGAGACGGUGCGGUGCUCCCAUCUCCGGCUGGGGCGGGGGUUCUGGCAACGAGGCUGGCCUGCUCGACGUCCUCCCCCAGCGCCUCUGUACCUCCUCUCCCUCCCCGGGUGAGGGGGACCGGAGCGUGCAGAGCUCUGUUUCCUGCAGGUGCCUCGUCAGCACGGUCGCCCCGGCGGCCAGAAACCUCCCGCCUCCAAGGGCACCUCCCUUGUGACCUCCGUGCAUUCGCCCUGGCUCGGCUGCAGGACAGAGUCCUCGGCGGAAAGGGGAGGAUGCGUGUUCAGAAGGUUGCAGGUCUCUGGGGACUCCACAGAAGACCCAACGCCUGCCUCGGGGGCUCAGGAUUGAACUGGCUUCCUAGUUCAGUCCCAAAUACUCGAUUUGGAGCAAUCCAGUAGGUCCAUGAGAAAUUAGUAGGGAUUGAGAAGCUGUGACUUCAGUCUUUUUCAAAUUGAAGGUGGCUUGAACAAACAGAAGAGGAGCUUGGGAACUGAAGGGACGACUUUAUAAAAACCAGGUAUUACUCAAAAAACAAUGUUAGCUCUGCAGUCAACUGAUUUUCUUAAGGGAGAGAGUCCUCCCCUCACCCCCAAGCUCUCUAGCACCGCACACAUCCAGCAGGGCGUUACACACGCUCAGUCUUUUUUGUGAGUGUGCAAGUGAAGAGCCAUCAAACUUCACAAGGCGACAUGCUUGCCUCUGGGGAGAAGACGCUGCUUUUCCACAGUUCACAGCGAAGCACACCUGCAAAUUCCUGAACUUGAUGGCUCCUGACUGUUUAGGGAAUAGGCAAAGGGCAGCCGGAAGAUAUGUGAAGGCAGGAAAGCUCAUUUUGAAUCUCAGCGCCUUUGCCAGCUCACUGGGUGGCAAUUUUGUGAGGGCCUCAUCUGUGCAAGUCCAGGGUACUGAAGCUCCGUAGGAGGGAGAAAAUCAGGGUAUGGAAAAACUUCACUUGGCUCCUCUGUGAAAGAUUCUACAACAUUUUCUGUUGUUUCUGGCUUUCAGUUUAGGUCCCUCCUUUAAAUAUAAUUGAAUAAAGUAUCCUUUGCCUUUU
rnacentral:lncRNA from 1 species